CACGUAGGGGGCGAGCGUUGUCCGGAUUUAUUGGGCGUAAAGAGCUCGUAGGCGGUUUGUCGCGUCGGCCGUGAAAUCUCCACGCUUAACGUGGAGCGUGCGGUCGAUACGGGCAGACUUGAGUUCGGUAGGGGAGACUGGAAUUCCUGGUGUAGCGGUGAAAUGCGCAGAUAUCAGGAGGAACACCGGUGGCGAAGGCGGGUCUCUGGGCCGAUACUGACGCUGAGGAGCGAAAGCGUGGGGAGCGAACAGG
rnacentral:rRNA from 1 species